AUUGAACGCUGGCGGCAUGCUUUACACAUGCAAGUCGAACGAUAACAGGCCGCAGGGUGCUGACGAGUGGCGAACGGGUGAGUAAUGCAUCGGAACGUGCCCAGUCGUGGGGGAUAACGCAGCGAAAGCUGCGCUAAUACCGCAUACGAUCUAUGGAUGAAAGCGGGGGACCGUAAGGCCUCGCGCGAUUGGAGCGGCCGAUGUCAGAUUAGGUAGUUGGUGGGGUAAAGGCUCACCAAGCCAACGAUCUGUAGCUGGUCUGAGAGGACGACCAGCCACACUGGGACUGAGACACGGCCCAGACUCCUACGGGAGGCAGCAGUGGGGAAUUUUGGACAAUGGGCGCAAGCCUGAUCCAGCAAUGCCGCGUGCAGGAAGGAGGCCUUCGGGUUGUAAACUGCUUUUGUACGGAACGAAACGGCUCUGGUUAAUACCUGGGGCUAAUGACGGUACCGUAAGAAUAAGCACCGGCUAACUACGUGCCAGCCGCCGCCGUAACAC
rnacentral:rRNA from 1 species